ensembl:lncRNA
CGCAGUCUGACAGAAGAGCGAGCGAGGGUGCAUCAUGACGAGCAACAGGUCGUGUACUGGGAAGAUUUGGUGUUGAUGGAGGAGGCAACAUCUUCAAGGCAAAACCUUAGACCUGAUGCAACAUCAUCCAGUGUCAAAAUCACCCUUUAGGAGGCACUUGAAGACCAGUGCCCAAUAUGCACAGGAACAUUUAGACCUGCCAUGCCAGCUUUUGUGGAGACAGGCUCUCCAAGGAAGGUGAUUUUCAGGGGAUUGACUGGAAUUCCUGGUUUUUUAUGUUUCCACAACUUCAGACGUGUUAUCUCGUGACAGACUUCAGAUGUCUUUGUGGUGUUUAUCUGUGCUGCUGCAUGACGAAUCACAUCCUCCUCACUGUAAAAAUAAAUAAAUAAAAUCACAUACAUGUAUAUAAAAACAAUAAAGCUAAAUUUUCAGCAUCAUUACUCCAGUCUUAAGUGUCACAAUAUAACAAUAUGCUUUUUUCUUUUUUUUUUUUUGAUCAACAAACAUUAUUAUUGAUGUUGAAAACAGUUGUGUACAAUUUUUUUCAGGAUUCUUUGAUGAAUAGAAAGUUCAAACGAGCAUCAUUUAUCUGAAAUAAUAUACACUACUGUUCAAAUGUUUGGGGUAGGUAAGACUUUUUUUUGAGGGGGGGGGGUUAAAUAAUACUUUUAUUCAGCAAGGAUGCAUUAAAUUGAUCAAAAGUGACAGUAAAGACAUUUAUAAUGUUAUAAACAGUUUUUACUUCAGAUAAAUUUCUAUUCAUCAAAGAAUCCCCCCCAAAAAAAUUUCAACAUUGACAAUAAUAAAUAUUUUUGAGCAACAAAUCAGCAUAUUAGAAUGCUUUCUGAAUGAUCAUGUGACAUUGAAGACUGGAGUAAUGAUGCUGAAAAUUCAGCUUUGAUCACAGG